GAUGAAGAACGCAGCGAAAUGCGAUAAGUAAUGUGAAUUGCAGAAUUCAGUGAACCAUCGAAUCUUUGAACGCACAUUGCGCCCGCCAGUAUUCUGGCGGGCAUGCCUGUCCGAGCGUCAUCUCAACCCUCGAGCCCCCCCGGGGGCUCGGCGUUGGGGACCGGCCCCGCCCCAGGGCGCGCCGCCCCCCAAAUCCAGUGGCGGUCCCGCCGCAGCCUCCCCUGCGCAGUAGCUUGCACACUCGCACCGGAGAGCGGCGCGGCCAUGCCGUAAAACCCCAACUUCUGAAUGUUGACCUCGGAUCAGGUAGGAAUACCCGCUGAACUUAAGCAUAUCAAUAAGCGGAGGA
rnacentral:misc_RNA from 1 species